rnacentral:tRNA from 1 species
GGGUUGGUAUCCAAAUUGGUGAAGGAGCUUGACUGUAAAUCAAGUGCUUAAUGCUAAACAUGGGGGUUCGAGUCCCUCCCAACCCACCU